GGAUUAACGCUGGCGGCAUGCCUAAUACAUGCAAAUCGAACGAGGUUAGUUUACUAACCUAGUGGUGAACGGGUGAGUAACAAGUAUCCAAUCUGCCCUUAAGAUGGGAAUAACUGACCGAAAGGUUAGCUAAUGCCCAAUAAUAACAUUCUUAUCGCAUGAGAAAAUGUAGAAAGACGCCUUUAAAGCGUCGCUUUUGGAUGAGGRUGCUCCGUAUCAGAUAGUUGGUAGGGUAAAAGCCUACCAAGUCUAUGACGCGUAGCUGUACUGAGAGGUAGAACAGCCACAAUGGGACUGAGACACGGCCCAUACUCCUACGGGAGGCAGCAGUAGGGAAUUUUUCACAAUGGGCGCAAGCCUUAUGAAGCAAUGCCGCGUGAACGACGAAGGUCUUAUAGAUUGUAAAGUUCUUUUAUUUGGGAAGAAACGUUAUGAUAGGAAAUGAUUAUAACUUGACUGUACCUUUUGAAUAAGUAUCGGCUAACUAUGUGCCAGCAGCCGCGGUAAUACAUAGGAUGCAAGCGUUAUCCGGAUUUACUGGGCGUAAAACGAGCGCAGGCGGAUCUGCAAGUUUGGUAUUAAAUCUAUGUGCUCAACGCAUAGCUGUAUCAAAAACUGCAAAUCUAGAGUGUAGUAGAGAGUUGGGGAACUCCAUGUGGAGCGGUAAAAUGCGUAGAUAUAUGGAAGAACACCGGCGGCGAAGGCGCCAACUUAGACUAACACUGACGCUUAGGCUCGAAAGUGUGGGGAUCAAAUAGGAUUAGAUACCCUAGUAGUCCACACUGUAAACGAUCAUCAUUAAAUGUCGGCACGAACGUGUCGGUGUUGAAGCUAACGCAUUAAAUGAUGUGCCUGGGUAGUACAUUCGCAAGAAUGAAACUCAAACGGAAUUGACGGGGACCCGCACAAGUGGUGGAGCAUGUUGCUUAAUUUGACAAUACACGUAAAACCUUACCUAGGUUUGACAUCGAUUGCAAAGCUAUAGAAAUAUAGUAGAGGUUAACAAUCUGACAGGUGGUGCAUGGUUGUCGUCAGCUCGUGUCGUGAGAUGUUGGGUUAAGUCCCGCAACGAGCGCAACCCCUUUCGUUAGUUAUUUUUUAACGAUACUGCUACUGCAAAGUAGAGGAAGGUGGGGAUGACGUCAAAUCAUCAUGCCCCUUAUAUCUAGGGCUGCAAACGUGCUACAAUGGUUGAGACAAACUGCUGCAAAACUGUAAAGUCAAGCAAAUCAGACAAAAUCAAUCUCAGUUCGGAUAGAGGGCUGCAAUUCGCCCUCUUGAAGUUGGAAUCACUAGUAAUCGCGAAUCAGACAUGUCGCGGUGAAUACGUUCUCGGGUCUUGUACACACCGCCCGUCAAACUAUGGGAGCUGAUAAUAUCUGAAACCGUACUGUUAACCGCAAGGAGGCAUACGUCUAGGGUAGGAUUGGUGACUGGAGUUAAGUCGUAACAAGGUAUCCCUACGAGAACGUGGGGAUGGAUCACCUCCUUUCU
rnacentral:rRNA from 1 species